UGGGGAAUAUUGGACAAUGGGGGGAACCCUGAUCCAGCCAUGCCGCGUGUGUGAAGAAGGCCUUAUGGUUGUAAAGCACUUUAAGCGAGGAGGAGGGUACUGGUAUUAAUACUACCAGCUACUGGACGUUACUCGCAGAAUAAGCACCGGCUAACUCUGUGCCAGCAGCCGCGGUAAUACAGAGGGUGCGAGCGUUAAUCGGAUUUACUGGGCGUAAAGCGUGCGUAGGCGGCUAAUUGAGUCGGAUGUGAAAUCCCCGAGCUUAACUUGGGAAUUGCAUUCGAUACUGGUUAGCUAGAGUGUGGGAGAGGAUGGUAGAAUUCCAGGUGUAGCGGUGAAAUGCGUAGAGAUCUGGAGGAAUACAGAUGGCGAAGGCAGCCAUCUGGCCUAACACUGACGCUGAGGUACGAAAGCAUGGGGAGCAAACAGG
rnacentral:rRNA from 1 species